UUCGCGUAGUUUUAGAUGUGGGAUAUUAACAAAAUGUCAGAUGGUCCAGGUUCCUCCACACUUCAGGGAUCAUCCUCUCGGUUUACCGGCGAAGACUCUGCACUCGCGGGGGUGACCGGCGUAAUUAUAAUAAAAAAGAAAAACAGUGCCAAUUUAAUUAAAAAAAGUGAAGAAAUUUCGCGAGGUUUGGUAAUCCUUGCUUUUCAGGAAAAUGGGGACGAAGGGGAUCUGCAGGAUCCCUUUUGCAUCGAGGACAAUCCUCAGAAGAUCACCUUCGAGGACAUCACCUCGGCUGCUUUCAAAAUCAAGGGCGGGAUUAUCAAGACUCCUUGCACGCAAUCCCGACUGUCCAAGAUGACGGGAGUGGACCUCUUCCUGAAGAUGGACUUCCUGCAGACGACGGGAAGCUUCAAGGAGCGGGGCGCCCGUUAUGCCCUCGUGAUGCUGAAGGAGGAGCAGAGAAGCAAAGGGGUGAUUUCGGCAUCCCUAGGGAACCAUGCCCUGGCUUUAUGCUACCAUGGAUCAACCCUAGGGAUUCCAGUGACGGUGGUGAUGCCAGUGUUGGCGCCGAUCAUGAAGAUCGCGGCGUGCAGACAAUACGGAGCGGAAGUGGUGGUGAAGGGCGCGGAAAUGGGAGAAGCAAAACGCAUCGCCCUUAAGCUGGCAAAGGAGAAAGGACUAACAUACAUAAACGGAUACGACCACCCGGACAUUAUGGCCGGCCAGGGCACGCUGGGAUUGGAGGUGGUCGAGCAGGUCCCGGAUAUCCACGCAGUGGUGGUACCGGUUGGUGGAGGUGGCCUAAUUGCUGGGGUAGCUCUGGCGAUGAAGACGUUAUACCCCGACGUGACCGUCAUCGGGGUGGAGUCCGAGAGAUGCGCCAGCUUCACCGCUGCCAGGGAGUCCGGCAGGCCAACCUACACCACCAUUGAGUCCACCUUGGCCGAUGGUUUGGCGGUUCCCAUGGUCGGAUACAAUGCUUUCGCCACGGCCAACCCUCUUAUCGAUAAAAUGGUCGUCGUCAAGGAGGAGUGGAUCGCCAUCGCCAUCUUGAAACUCGUGGAGAACGAGAAGUGCAUCGUCGAAGGGGCUGGAGCGACCGGGUUGGCGGCUAUCCUGGCUGGGCAGUUGGAUGAGUUGAAAGGAAAGAGGGUGGUCAUCCCUCUAUGCGGUGGCAACAUCGACACCACGAUCCUGGGCAGGUGUCUCGAACGAGGUCUGGCUGCGGAAGGACGACUUCUGAAAUUCAGCGUGACGGUGUCCGAUCGUCCCGGGGGGAUCGCCGAGCUCUGCAGGAUGCUGGCCGAGAUCGGCGUCUCCAUCAAGGACAUCAUGCACGAGCGCGCCUGGAUAAUGUCGGACAUCUUCAGCGUCGAGGUCAAAGUGGUCUGCGAGACGAGGGACAGCGUCCAUUCGGAGGAGCUCCGCAAGAUGCUGCAUCGAAACUACCGGAAGGUCGUCUUCGGCUCAAUUCAUCAUCCCUCGUGAGCGAAAUGGAUGACUGCUCGAACAACUCAGCCAUCUUGUCGGUGGGACCUCUUCAAGAUCGAAACAGAGAGGGACCACGAUACCCCUUAUAGUAUCCCAGAAUGAACCGCCCACCACCAAAAACAAGCGUCUUCAUCAUCGUCUUCAUAGUCAACACCAACUUCAUCAUCUCACCUCCACUUCACUUGAGAAAAUCAAGUGACCACCGAUCUCACGAUCGAUUUACGGGACAUGCCUCAUCAUUUUUCAAGUCCAGCGCUCUUCAGGGUAUAAAAAUGGACCCGGGGAUCAUUUCGGAGGUGCGUUGGGAUUCGGCAACCUCGUGACGGACACGACUCAGUACAGGAGGGGGAUAAAUAGGGGUUGGCUAGGGAAAGGGUUGGGAGAGAAGUGGAGGAUACGUGACUGAAAUCGUUAAAGGCCUUGGGGCCGCUUUCCAGGAAAUGUAACUGCUGGCCACCCCAUUUAAUUCAAUGUCUCGUACCGGGGGCGAACCUAACGUCCAUUACACCCCUAUCUCGUUUCGGCAUCGUCUUAACCGGGAACGCGACGCCAUGGCCGCCUCCAAAGUGUCGUCGACCAAAUGCGAGCCAAGGUUUCAUUACUCGGUCUCGAGGGUUGCCAACUGCCCCUCAUCCUGGGGUGAGAUCCGGCAUAAACCCGCGCUAAUCGCUAACGCUACAACCCCUCUCCCCCUAAAAAAUCUCCCCAAAAUCUCCCAUUUUCAUUCCAAAACCUUCCCCGCUAAUCAGACCCAUUGCAGGUGGCUUCCGAAGCCAUAAUCGAAGCUCAAAAUGAAAUGGUAACGCAAAACCAGCCAUUUUUCAUCACAAUCAGAAUUUGAUUAAACGCCGCGAAGUCCCACCUCUGCAAAAACAUUGUGCUUAUUUUUUUUUUUCGCCUUCCCACCCCUCCUGGAGUUUCGCGUUUCGGUUCCCGGAUACCAGCUGGGCAGAAUUCCGCUUUUGAAUAGAAUGUGCUACCCGGAACGAAUAAUUUAGCGUUAUCGAAUUUUUCCGUCCCUUUCCCCGGUUUUCGCGUUUUUGGGAUUCGCCGCGAUGUAAAGCAUUUUUCCACCCCUGGUGCGAUUCACAGGUCUGUUUAACCACUUCGUGUAUUCUUACUGGAAUUAAUAAUGUCAAUUAUUUUCAUUCCGAGGGUGUAUUUUUUUUCGACAUCUGAUAUUCGGUCCGCGGAUCCGAACAAAAUGGCGGACGGAUCUCUCUAUUCCCGAGGAGGACGCUGCAGGACGAAAUACGCUUGUUUAAUGGCCGCGCCGUAGCGACGUGCAUGUACGUAAUGCAUGUAUGUGCUGCUGUACAUACCCAUCCCGAAAUAUAUGGGGUAGAUAAAAUUAGAUGGAUCGCUCUCAGGGAGGAGGCGCGAUUUCUCGUUAAACCGAAGCAGGCGAGUGACGUCCUUUUAGAUCCGUCCCAAAGGUCCUGGAAUCGGUCGUGGCGAUUGGAAAUGCCGUUUAAGGUCCCCGUUUAUGUGUUUACGCGUUUGUACGCCUUUAUAGACACCCAUCGAUAGAUCGAUCGACAAACGGAUGGAUUUCUGUCAACCCUGCGUUGCGUAUCGAGCCGAAGGGCGUCGAAAGGAAGAAUUUCACUCAAUUUUGUCACAACUUAAUGCAACAAUUUUUUCUUCGUGAUACUCCUCGUAGGAUGAUUUUCAGUUUUGAAUUUUCUAAUAGAUGUUUCUAAAAUGGCCGAACGCGAUCGAUCGACCUCUGAGUUGGAAUUAUUUCUUUCAGAGCUAGUUAAAAAUGGCUACCGAGACUUUAAGAGACUUAAAGGCUGAGUUUCCCUCUGGAAUUUCCGCGAGGCCCUGUUUUUUUCCCUAUUUCGGGGGAGGGGGCGCACGAGACCCGAAUUUACAGCAUUUAAUAUCGGCAAAAUGAAGUACGAGCGCGCGGGAGGCCGAGCAAGGAGGCCGCCAUUUUGUGGCAUCGAUAAAUCGCUUUUAUUGCCGGUAGGAAAUUCGCCUUAGCGGGUGGUACGACUGCUUCAGGUUUUCACCCCAUACCCAGGGUGUGUAAGGGGCGCAUGAAUAAAAUCUAAUACGAGCUGGAGCACAGCUCGAUCUUGAAAAAAAAGCAAAACUUCCAAAAAAAUCACCUUCACGGUCGCCAUUUCCGCCUCCCUCGCGGCCGCCAUUUUCCUCCGUCCCCGUAACAGAAAAUAUUUUUCCCCAAACGAAGCGUUUAAAAAAUGCGACUUUUAAACAUUUUUCUCGAGGAAGAAAGUAGGAAUGGCGGUCAUAAUGGAGAGAGGUCCUGAAGGAAUCAAAAUGGAAGUAAAUGUAAUCCUGGCCGGACGUUUACGGUGACAAUAAAAUGAAAGGGACACGCGGCGGUUUUAAGCCGCUUUUAAAUUCUUUCGGAAGCACCCCGAUUCCGCGUUUCCGGGUGGAUUCGCCCCUUGAUUCUAUCGCGCGGUGAGUUUUUCCUUUUAUUUCCCGAAAAUUCCGGGUAGAAACGCGAUUUCGCAUCUCUCCAGAAAUUCAGCCUCUUCGCGAGGUCCUUCGCAGGGUUCAUCCCUUUAUCGAAGGGCGAUUUAAUUUCCUACUGUCCCGGUUUCAAUUUGGGGCUGCUUUUAAGGGUAGAAGGAAAGCGAGAAAAGUCAAUCUCCCUCCCAUUUUGCCCACUGAAUAUGGGAUAGGGUUUAUUUCGUCAGAAAUUCCGGGAAAAGUGCCGAAACGGGGGUGGGUGUAAACGAAAGGACUUUCAGUUCGACAAAAGUGAAUAACUUAAACGGCCCUAAUGCUGGAAAGUUCCCUAAUUAAUGCGACGUUAAGGGCCGCUUAAUAAAGUGGUUGCCAGAAUGUCAAUCCGAGGGUGGAAAUGGGGUGUAAAGGUUCUCCAGUCGGCGCGAAGGGUUGACAAUGAUUUUUCGGUAAUUCCCUAGAAAUCCUGAUUUUCCCCAAUCCUGGACUCGAGGCUAAACAAAAAUGACAAUGGGCGAAAAUCUUGAUCCGGGACUCUACCAAUAAACAAUGGCGAGAUGGAGGGAAACGGAGAUCCCUCGAAGAACAAUCACCCCGGCAACGAAAUUUGCGAAAAAGAGAUUCAGUCCUGGGGAAGAAAAAACCCUCCCUGAAAAGAACCGCUGCUGAAGGAAAGAAGAGGCAAGGGAACCCCGGGAAAAUUAUAACAGUGAAAGUGGACAGGCGAAUUAAUGUAAAGGAGAAAGAAGAGCAGCCCCUUUCUUCGAUUCCGCCUUUCUUCCCGGGGAACUUUCUCUUCCGAAACAAUAGGCCAUUCUGUUAGCGCAAGCAAUAGGCGAGGGAAGAGAGAAGUAACCGGAAACUCGGAUGCAAAAGAGACGCCGAGAAAGCCUGGGAGAGGAGGGGCACGAAGCCUCAGCGAUUAUAUUUUUCCAUUAGCGUAAAUAUCCCGACUGCCAAUUUGCAUUUAUAUGUAUAAUAAUACUAGUUAUUCGAUUGUUGGCUCAAAGACGUCGCUCGAAGGCAGCUCGAAGAGGAGGAACGCCGGAAGAGUUGCAGAGGGAUGCUACGUGAGAUGAUGGAAGAUACUCGGGUCCGCCGAGAGGAGUGAAUUGGCUGGAUGCAAGGUUUCCUGCACCGAGUCGUGCAAUUAGCCGACGUAUGCGGCAAGACCUGGUGCACAAUCCUCGAGCAGCGAUUGGCCGGCUGGUGAACCAGUUUCCUGGACUGCAGACUGUAUCUUGACCACUUGGCCAUGGAUCCUAAUUAAGAGGAAUGCUAUACGGGAUUACGAGAUGUACCCGCGGCACUCCCUCUUCCUGCUAUCGGUACAGGAAACCGG
rnacentral:misc_RNA from 1 species